CUGAAAAACAAACGAACUCAAAAAUCUACUAUCUACUGGCCCAUCCCAAUCUAUCCUUUUGCAUUAUAUACAUAGUUCUAGGUUUCCUAUAUCCAACUUCAGUCUUUUUCUCUUGAUCAACCCUAUUAUACCUGAAAAAUGUUGUCGCUGCCACUGUUCAACCUUUAGUUUAUCUUGCUCCAGUUUUGGGUGAUAAACUUUGUACCCUUGUUGCUUCUUAUAUCUGCAUAUCUCAGCUUACAAAUAUAAGUAUUGGUGGCUGUCUUUUUCUUUUACUGACUCUUCAGUUUCAGCUCCAUUUUUAUUUUUGUCUUUGUUCUCGUGUUGUGCUCUCCGAUGGAUUGGAAACAAAUCUUCUUUUAUGCUCUGUUGAGAGUUCGUGUCUCGUAAAGUCUAUUACUUUUUUCGGAUAGGGCUGGUAUGGAGAAAAUAGGAUGCUCGAAACCAUAAAUAUUUUGAGAGUAAUAUGACAAACAGGUUUAUCAAAUGAAAUCUGACUAGCUGAACCUCCCCACUUGCUGCGAGUCCUUUUUGUUGGCUAUUGUAGUGUAAGAAAGAUUCUUCACCUGUUAGUAGCCAACAUGGCUUAUAUAUAUUUCCACGUGAAACAAACUAAGGUUUAGCAUCCCCGACUCCUUCACCCUUUUGUUGGUGAUAAUCUUAAGUACGGGCAUUGCAAUUUAUUACUAUUAAUUAUCCUCUUAGCUCUUUGUUAUAACUGUUGGAAACUUGUGAAUGUGAAUUCCCCUUUGUCAAUUGCCAAAUUUGCAUGAUGAUCUGCUAGCUGAUUCCCUUCGCUGUGUAUGUGUUGAAACUGUACUUGUUUGUAUUCAAAUAAUAUCCAUACUUGCUCAAUUAUAUCUGAUAUGCUCAAUGGACAUUCCAACUCUCUGAUUAAUAUUUUCUGCAAAGUUAGAAAGUUAUUCUUAAUAAUGGCCUUGUUGUGUUGUGAGUGACUACAAUUUUUUGUUUCCUGAUAGAUAGCUACUGUCUCUGCUUCAACAUUAGUAGUAUCUUCAGCAUUGUUAGUAUCUUCUAUGUUAGCUCAUUUUGAAUAUAAAAAAUCCCCUUUCAUUUCUUAGACGAAAUGGAUAAGAACUAGUACCUGGAUUACCCCUAGAUGCUCCAUCAGUUUUAUACUUAAUCCACCCUUUCUAAGGAAUUUCCAUAUUAUUCUAGAGACCUUUGCCUUUGGACUGCUAUGUUCAAAUUCCUUUGGAAUAUCUGGCCAUGUAUAUGAAAAAUCUCGUGCUGGUUUUCUAAUUUCAGCAGCAUACCUAGAUUUCUGGUUAUAUUGAAUUCUACCCUCUGAGCUAAAACAUUCAUUCCAUCAUGUUUUAGUCUAUUUCUCUUCUCCAUAGCUCUAGAUGAUAAUACUAGGAAUUGCUUGAAAAUAAGUCUUUUCUCUCUUCCGGACAUUUACAUUCACUUGUGCCAUUAAGGAUUCCCUGAAGCUGAGUCCAUGUAAAUUUGAACCUGCAAAAGAGGAAAAGUUGGAAUAUGUCUUGUUAGCAAUAAAUGAUCUUAGAAACAAAUGGGUUAUGGUUUCUUAUGCUAGAUUAACACAACACCAGCAUUUAGAUGGCCCCUCAACACCUCGUCUUGUCAUAUUUUCAUCCACAUGAACCUUUCACUUCUAUAUCCGCCACAUGUUGAAAGUUAUUUUAAGAGGUAAACCUUUAACCCAUAUCUCUUUAAAAGUCCAACAACUCUUCUCCUUUUUUCUAAUGUAUUUCCAUGCUGAUCUCACUGUAAAUUUUACAUUAGCCUCAGAGAUCUACACAGGUCUAUCUUUCCUUCCUAUAAUUAUUGGAGGCUUGAUUUUAUCUAGAAUACGCCCAGCAACCUCAUCUGGAAAAAUCUCAAUAAUCAGGUGAUCAUUCACUUCCCAUUUAGCAUUGAGUCUACCACAUUUAUAUCUAUCAUCACAAUCUCUAUUCUCCUGAAUAACUAUGUAUAAAUCUCCUACAGCUAUCCAUUUAUCAAACCAUAUACUAGAAUUCCCUCUCCUAAUUUUCCAUAGGAUUUGAUGCUCAACGAAGUCCCUGGCCUGCAACAUAUUUUUCCAUACUUAAGAACCAGAACCAAUUUUCCACCUCACCAUAUUAUGGUUCUCUCUUUUGUAAUACUUGUUUUGCAUAUAAGCUCUCCAAAUAGAUUCUUUUGUUCUAAAAUUUCACCACAACUUGCAAAAAAAAUCAAUUGCCAUAUCUUGCACCAAUCUAAAUCCAUGUCCACCUUCUUUCUCUGGUACAUAUAAGUCUUUCCAUUUUACCCAAUGUCUACUCUUUUCUCCAAAAUAACUUAUCUAGAAAAACUGAGCUAGCAGUCUCUGGAUAGUAGUCAUCACAUUCAAGGGAGGAUUAGUAAUUAAUAGGAAAUGAAUAGGUGUACUUUGCAGGAUAUGGUUGAUUAGUACAAAUAUCACCCCAUAUGAUAACAUCCUUCCUUUCCAUCCUUGCAGCUUGCUACUUAUCUUGUUCAUAAUAUGUUGAUAGAAAUCCUUCUUCUUCCUCAUGUGAAAAUAGGGCAUCCUAGGUAAGAAAAAGAAAAAUAUUUCCUUAGAAUACCAGUAGCCAUUUCUUCCAUCACUACUACCCUGUGAGAUACACCUUUAUAUAUGUAUAUUUCACUCUUCUCCUUAUUAAUAUUUUGCCUGAAACAAGUUCAUACUUAUCUAAAAUUGUUGUUACUCUUUGUAACGUGCCUUGCAUAAUAUGAUCAUAUCAUCUUAAAAAGCAAGGUGAUUAAUUUUUGGGCUUCCCCUUGUCAUACCAAACAUCUUAAACUCCUUUUUAGUGCCAGUGAUUUUAAGGAUCUAGACAUCAAAUCUGCUACCAGAAUAAAGAAACUAGGAGAUUGAGGAUCCCCUUGAUUCAAGCCUCUAUAAGAUCUAAAAAAUCCUUUACGUUGCCCAUUCAAUAGGACUGAAUACAAAUUGUUUCCCACUAAUCUAUUCACUAUGUCUACGAUUAUUUCAUUAAAUCCCAAUUUUUUCUGAACUUUUGUAAGGUAGAGCCACUCUGCCCUAUCAUAUAUUUUCAUCGUGCCAUGCUUAAUGACCAUGUUAGAAAUGAUUUCCUGAACCAUUAUGAUGUUCUUUGCAAUACUUAUCACCUGAACAAAACCAGAUUGUUCUUCUGAUAUAAUCUCAGGUAACAACUUUUUUAUUCUAUCAUGAAUGAGUCUAUAGAAAAUCUUAUUAACAAAAUUACUCUAGGAAAUUUGCCUCAUGUAAGAGAGUGUUCACAACUAAUUCUUUUGGUAACAUUACCAAAUUAGUGUGUGUUGAAUCUUGGAAGCUCAAAUCAACAAAAAAGGCCACUACAAUGUGGUACACAUCUUCUCCAAUAAUAUCACAUGCAUGCUGGUAGAAAUCCCCUGGCAUGCCAUUUAGACCUCUUUAACACUUUUUUUAUUCAAUCCCAUUACUCCUGCCUUCUGAGGUGGUUUUAUAUACUUCAGUGUCAUUAUUAUAGUUUAUUUAGCCUUGUGUUGAGAGAAAUCCGUGUGCUUAAUAUGUUAAUAUUGAUAUAAAUAAGCAUUUAAGUGUCCAAGUGUGCAUUUACAAUGUUCAAGGUAUUUUACAAACAAGUUUAUACUUAAUUGAAUCAUUUAGAGUUAAACCCGGAAAACUAGUAUUACUAGCUUGAGCUAGGUGUGUGUCUAGUUGAUUUCGAUGGAUUUUAAUGUGUUUAAUUUGUUUCAAAUAUUUUAAAUGUGUAAUUAUGUGUGGAAUAACUUGUUUGUAAUUGACAAAGUUUAAUUUAAUUAAGUAAAGUCGGAACAUUGAGUUUAAGAUAAUUAUUAAUUUGCUUUAUCUUAGCUUUUAUUUUGAUUCGUAGUUGCGAAUAUUAUGUUGUUUUGAUCUUUAAUAUGUGGUGUAUUAUAUUGUAGGAGGUUUUUUGAGAUAAAUAUAGUGAUAUAUUGAUAAACUAAAGGUCGAAAAAUCAUUGAAAAUACACUACAAAAGGCAUGGGAAAAGGAUAGGACGUUCAAUACCCGAAAGUUUGUAAGCAAAUUCUAGUGAGUUGAUGUGAAGUCAACACGUCGCAUCGUUGGUCACAUAGUUUACGCUUAGUAGAAUUUUUCAAAACUAAUUUUAGUACACCGACGCGAGACACAACUUUGGGCUGUCAUGAGAUGGCACGCAAUUUAAGAGUAACUUGGACAAGGAUUAGGAUUAUUAUUGGACAGCUGGACAACAAAACAAUUUGGAUAAAGUGGUAAUAUUUCUUGAUACUUAUACAUCACAUAUAAUAUAAUAUAAUAAAAUAUUUAUACACCACACACCUGGGCAAUAUGUCACAAUCUUGGAAUUAAUUAAUUCUUGGACAACGACCUUGAAGCGGUGAUAUGGUGCUUGGACGAAAAAUGUGGUUGCCUCUUCUUUUAAUUAGAUCUUAAAUUUUUAUUUAGUUGUUAAUUAUUCAUUUCAUGUAUUAAAUUAAUUACAUCGUUAUUAUGAAUAUAUUCGGCUAAAACUUCUCUUUCUGGGGUUAAAGCUAAGAACAUAAUUACUAUUAUUUUGCAUUAAAUUUUAUUAAUUUUGUUUAUCAUAGUUGAUAUUUGUUUAUUCUUGAUUUAAUUAUUUUACGGAUUCGCGAUUUUUAGAAUACACAUAUUAUCAACCUUUUAAUCAGGGAGAGGGAAUAGGGAGAUAGAACAUGGGAAUAAAUAAAGUUUGGGUUUUUAUUAUUUUAUAAAAUAAAGAAUUAAAUUUAGUGUCUAGGACAGGGAUGUACUUAGAUACCUUACUGGAUUCACACGUAGGAUAAUAGCUUUAAUUCAGUCAAUUGAUUUAUUACAUCCCUGCUCAAUGAUGUAGUUGUGAUGUCUAUAUUAGGUAAAAGAUUAGACGUUGGGAAACCAUUAUCACACAAUUAACCCUACGAAUCAACAAUCGAGAUAAGCAAAUUAACGAAUGAAAUUCAAUAACAUAGUAUGAUUGUUCAAAGUGCUUUAAUCCUGAGAUUUUCUCUAUCGAUUGUCUCAAGUAUUUUAGUUUACACAUUAUUUACUUUAUUUAUAAUUUACAAAAAUUACAAACUCUUUUUUUGAUUACUUUUUCACUAAAUUAAUCUAGACUGUGAAAUAAAAUUAAAUCAUUGUUAAAUCAAGCCUCUGUGGGAUUGAUACUUGGCUUUAAUUAGGCCACUUUACUACUUGGUAGACUAUGUACACUUGCAUGUGCUCUUGGGUGCUGUCAAGUUUUUGACGCCUUUGUCGGGGGCUUAUUAUUUAGCAAUUUUUUAUUUUAGUUUUACUUUUAGGUUUAUUUGGUUUUUUUAUGCUUGGUCUUGGUUUUGUUAUUGCAGGAAAUAAGUUUUUAGGUUGAUAAGAUAGAAAUGGAUCGGGAGUUGGUAGAACCAAGCUCGAAACCCGAGCAAAUUUACCAUCAACACAAGAGAGAAGCAAUUCUUUUCCUUAGAAUUCCUCAAAACCAAGAAGACCAAGGGUAUACUAUUCCUAUGGAUAAACAACAAAUAGCUGGUAGGAAGGUUAGGGAAGUGGUAGUCCGACUUCCAACAAACUUGACUUCCCUAAUACAAAGACCGGCAGCUUGGGGGAAUUUUGAGUUGAAACACAAUAUUGGUGCAGCUUCUAAUUAGCAGUGGACAGUUUGCAGGGCUUUCACACGAUGAUUCACAAGUCUACUUGUAGACCUUCAUUGAGCUUACAGAUACAUUCACUCCAAGUGAGGUGACUCAAGAUUAUGUGAGGCUAACACUAUUUCCCCAUUCACUUUUGGGGAAAGCUAAAAAGUGAUUGAAUGUGGAGCAGGCCAAUUCAAUCACAUCAUGGGAUGACAUAGCCAGAAAGUUCUUCAUUAGAUUCUUUUCAUCAGGAAAGACUGGGAGACUUCGUAGUGAGAUAGUGAGCUUUAAAUAUAAGCAUGAUAAAAGUCUCUAUCAUUCUUGGGAACGCUUCAAGUCUCUUCUUUGAUAGUGGCCACACCACCAAUAGUACAAUUAGGUACUUGCUCAUUCUUUUGUAGAAGCUCUUGAUCACAAUACAAAGAUUUUGCUAGAUUCACAUGCAAGUUGUCAAGCACUGGAAUUGACUUAUGAUGAGUUAUACACAUUGCUUAACCAUAUAGCACAAGGAAAUCUAGAUUGGCAUUUAGAUUCUAGAAGUACCACAAAAAGAAUUGCUGGUGUAUUGGAGGUGGACCAAUUCACAGCCUUAUCAUCAUAGGUUUUUGCACUACAAAAUUUGAUCAACACAUCAUUCAGCAGCAUGGAAUUGGGAACUACACAAACUACAGCCACAGUCAAUGCUAUCCAAUAAGCCACAGAGUAUGCCCAAGUAUGCAAAGCACUUGAGGGAUGUGGUGGCAAAGAAGGUGAAAUAGUAUAUCACUCAGUUAAGAGUGUUGUGCUGUGAUAACUCAAUAGAUCCCCAAGAAAUUGAAAGAUCAGGGGAAGUUUGCUAUUCCCAUUCAAAUUGGGAGUAAAGAGGUCUAUGCACUUAGUGACUUGGGGGAAAACAUAAAUUUGACGACCCUAUCAUUGUUUAAAACAUUAGGCUUGUGAAAACCACGACCUACUACCGUACUAUUGCAGCUGGAAGAUGGGACAUUUACAUAGCCGAAUGGAAUAAUUAAGGAUGUCCUCAAAAAGGUUUGUAAAUUCAAUAUACUUGCUGACUUCAUUGUUCUUUAUUUUGAGGUAGAUGAACAGGUACCAAUCAUAUUGGUACAUCUAUUCUUAGAAACUGGAGGGGCCUGGAUUGAUGUUAGAGAAGCCACACUUAAGAAGAGGAUAGAUAAUAAAGAGGUGGUAUUUGAUAUUUACAACGAACCCAUUGUAAAACCCCAAAUUAAAGUUUUGUGUGUGAUGAAUUCUAUUGAAGGGGAAAAGUGUAUGGUGGUUAGUUGUAAUACCCCAUACUUUUCCUAGCUUGAAAUUGUCUUAACAAUAUUAGAAUCUUUCUUUGAAAGAUGAAUCCACUUUUGUACAUGUGGUAUUUUAAAGAUUUUUACUUUUCGUUAUAUGAAAAAUUGAAUUAUCUUUCCAAUGAUAUCAACUUCAUCAAAAUUGGACUUCGGAAGAUAAAGUUAUAACCAAAACACAGAAGGUAGUAAAAACUGCCCAGGUGCGACGGUGAGGCCGACAAACCAUCGAACUAGCGAUGGAUCGUUGCCCACGACCGUCACAAGGGAAACAGUGAUGCUACCUUCUGGAUAAGGUGGGAUGGGUAGGUUGACAGACCGUCGAACUUGCGACGGACUGUCGCCCAGGCCGUCGCUACUUAGGCAGUAAGCCCUUUUCUUGGUCCAUGUAUGACAGUCAAAAUGACAGACCGUCGCAAGAGGCAUCGCAGGUCCCGAUUCAGUAAAUUAAAUCCAUUUUAAAAGGGGACUUUUUGGUCUUUUACCACCCAUUUAUAUACCCAAUUAUAUCGGACAAAAGCUUAAAAAUACAUUAUUCUUUCACAAUAACAAAGCUGGGGUUUUCUCUCUAAUAUUAAUCUCCAAGAACAAAAUCCAGAUCUUCUUCGAAAACUAAGAGAUUAAAAUUGAUCAAGCUUAAGAAUUUCAAGAAAAACUCAACCCGGGUAUGCAUAGUGUUCAUUAAUGGACUCCUUUCGUCCAUGAAGUCGAAGAAUCAUAGACUGCUAUAUAAAGGUAGAUGAGGUGGCUUAGCCUGCUAUAUGAGGGUCCCCACCAUUCUCACUAGAGUUACCUGUUAUAUUAGGGUCACUCACACAUUGUCCUUACCAAUGGCACAGCAUUGACA